rnacentral:snRNA from 1 species
GUGCUUGCUACGGCGGCACAUAUACUAAAAUUGGAUCGAUACAGAGAAGAUUAGCAUGGCCCCUGACGAAAAAGGAAAUAAGAAACAAACGCAAAUCCGU